GAUGAACGCUGGCGGCGUGCCUAAUACAUGCAAGUCGAGCGAACGGACGAGAAGCUUGCUUCUCUGAUGUUAGCGGCGGACGGGUGAGUAACACGUGGAUAACCUACCUAUAAGACUGGGAUAACUUCGGGAAACCGGAGCUAAUACCGGAUAAUAUUUUGAACCGCAUGGUUCAAAAGUGAAAGACGGUCUUGCUGUCACUUAUAGAUGGAUCCGCGCUGCAUUAGCUAGUUGGUAAGGUAACGGCUUACCAAGGCAACGAUGCAUAGCCGACCUGAGAGGGUGAUCGGCCACACUGGAACUGAGACACGGUCCAGACUCCUACGGGAGGCAGCCGUAGGGAAUCUUCCGCAAUGGGCGAAAGCCUGAAGGAGCAACGCCGCGUGAGUGAUUAAGGUCUUCGGAUCGGAAAACUCUGUUAUUAGGGAAGAACAUAUGUGUAAGUAACUGUGCACAUCUUGACGGUACCUAAUCAGAAAGCCACGGCUAACUACGUG
rnacentral:rRNA from 1 species